rnacentral:lncRNA from 1 species
CAAAUUAAUUAUUAUUGAUAGAAUUUCAAAUCAUUCAAUUUAAUAAUUACUAAUUAACAAAUUUAUAUUUACAUGCAUGCAAAUUAAUUAAAUAUUUUUAAAACAAAAUGAUUAAAUAAACAUUUAUAAUUUCAUACCGCAAUAGAGCUUAAUUCAAUCCAAAUUUUUGGAUUCUUUAUUUUUCAAAACCUACAUCAAGUGAACAACACAAUAAUUUUUUAAUUAUUUCAACAAAAUUAUUAAUUAUUUAAUUAAAAACAGUAAAUCAAAUAAUUAAUUUCAUUAUUUUUAAAAAUAUUUAAAAACAGAAAAUUAUUUAUUUAUUUCAAAAUAUUAUUAAUUCUUUAAUUAAAAACAGUAAAUAAAAUAAAGAUUUUAAAUUAUUUUUAAAAUUAUUUAUUAACUUUUUAAUUUAAAAACAGUAAAUUAUUUAUUUAUUUAUUUAAAGAAAAUAUUAAUUAAUUGUUUUAUUAAAUCAAUAAUAAAAGUAAUUAGUAUUUUAAUUAAAUACACUUUCAUUUAAUUAAAAAACAGAAAAACAGUAAAUUAAUUAUUUAUUUAUUGAAAAAAAUUAUAUUCAUUCAUAUUUAAUUAUUAACAUAUACAAUACAUUAAUGUAAAUUGUUAAUUAAUUACAAUUUUUUUAAUAAAUAACAUUCAAUUAAAUAAUUAUUAAUUAUUAAACAAUAUUAUUUUACAAUUUAUUAAAUAAUAAAACAUAUUAUUUUUUAACAUAAACAUUUAAUAUUUCAUUAAUAACAUAUUAAUUUUAUUGUAAUUAAUUACUUGAAUUCAUUCAAAUUAAUUAAUUACAUUAAAAACACAUUAAUUAUUUAAUAUAAAUUUUAAAUUAUUUUAAAACAUAAAUUAAUUUAUUUUUUUAUUUUUUUUUAAAAUAAUUUAAAAACAGAAAAUAAUUAAAACAAAUUUAUUUCAUGCAAAUAAUUAAUUAAGAUAUAGAUUCAUGUCAAUUAUUAAUUAAAUUGAUAUAUAAUUACAAUUAUUUAAAUAAUUUAAAAAUAAGUUGAUUAAAUAGAAAAUUUAAUUAUUUUCUGUUUGAAAAUAAUUAUAUAAUAAAAUAAUUGUUUCUUUAAAUUCUUUCUAAUAUAUAAAUUAAAACAAUAUAAAAACAGUAAUUAAAUAAUUCAUUUUAAAUUAUAUUUACAAAUAUAUUAAACAUAAACUUUCACAGAUCGAUAUAUACCUUCGCAGACGAAGAUCGCAGAUCAAUACCUUCACAAAUCGAUACCUUCACAAAUUAAUAUAUUGAUGAAGAUUAGUAUAUAUUAAUAAAUCAAUAGAAAGGAUUAGUACACUAAUUAAACAAACUAAAACAGUACAUAAACUAACUAAAAAAUACAAUAACUAAAUGAUGCAAUAUAAUUCCAAUUACUUGACAAUAGUACAUGAAAAUGUAUAAUUCAUUUAUAAAACAUUCAUAUAACACUAAAAUAAAACUCAUUCAUCACUUAUUUGAGUUUGAUUAAAAGCAAUCACUUAAUUUAUUAACAAAUAAACAAUAGAUUAGUUGAUAAUUAACAAUAACAAACAAACAAAGAUAAACCCAAUCAUCAAAACAGUAGAUUCCAAUAACAAACAAACAUAGAUUAUAGUUGAUACUUAAAUAACAAACAAACAUACCCACAAAAUUAAAUAACAAAAUCAUAAUAAAAAAAUUUCAUACAUCGGUUCCUAACAUUCAAACCAUAAAACCAUAAAUCAAAAUCAUAAAUCAACAUACCCACAUACCCACAUAAUAAAACCAUAAAUCAAAAUCCAUAAUGUGCGUCAUACCAUAAAACCAUAAAUCAAAAUCAAAAACCAUAAAACCAUAAUAAAAAAUAACCCAUCACAUACCUUCACAGAUGACCGGCGAGGUGAGGGGCAGCGCACGGCGAGGCUAGGCGAGACCGACCGGCAGGAGCGAGCGGCGGGAGUGAGCGGCGGCGAGAAAUCGGGAGUCGGCGGUCGUCAGUGGGCAGUGGGCAGUGGGCGUUCGUCAAUCGGGAGUCGGCGCGAAUGUGCGUUCUCUGUUCUGAUUUGGGGUUUUUAAUAAACCCCAAAACUUACAUGGCGGAUUUCCGCCAUGUAAGUACACUUAAGUGCCGCCAUGUAAGGUGGAAAAAUCCGCCCAAUCGAAAUUUGGGCGGGCUUUUUCCGCCCGAGUCCCCCGAAUACUUAAGAUGGCGGAUUUCCGCCAUCUUAAGUCAAUUUAAUCGGGUAAUCGGGUUCAAUAUUGGGGGACAUUCGAAAUUUUGGGCGGGAUAGUUUAGAUGGCGGAUUUCCGCCAUCUAAACACCGCCAUCGAAAAUAAAAUGGAACCGCCGUCGAGCCCAAACCUUACCUCAACGGACUGAAAGAAUAGAUGGCGGACAUCCGCCAUCUAAACAAUUGAAGUAUUGAUGGCGGAUUUCCGCCAUCUAAAGUCCGCCAUACAAGGUCCUUUUUUUUG